AUGAUUGCUGUUCAUGAAUUGCCAUUCUCGUUUGUGGAAUACGAGGGAUUUAGAAGAUUUGUGUACAGUCUGAAUCCCACAUUUGAGGUGGUGUCUAGGACGACAAUAAGAGUUGAUUGCCUCAUGCUAUUUCAUGAACAAAGGGAAAAGUUUCGAGAGGCUAUACAGAACUUAACCUCUCGUGUCUCUUUAACCGCCGACAUGUGGACUUCAAGUCAAGCCGUGAGCUAUAUGUGUAUAACAUGCCAUUUUGUUAGUACGACGAAGUGGAAAUUGCAGAAAAAAGUGAUUUGGUUUUGCAAGGCAGAAACACCACAUAAUGGACCAAAUUUAUUUAAUAUCAUGUUAGAAUGCAUGCAAUAUUGGGGUUUGCCAAAGAAGAUUUUCUCCAUCACGCUAGACAAUGCAUCAAAUAACAACUCGUGUGUGAAGUACAUCAAAUCCAAUCUGUUAGGAAAGAAUUUCCUACCUUGUAAAGGAGAUCUUUUACAUGGUCAAUGUGCAGCUCAUGUGAUCAACCUUAUUGUCCAAGAUGGGUUGGAGAUUACAUGCAAAGCAGUGGAUAAUAUCAGGGAAAGCAUCAGGUUUGUUAGAAGCUCCCCCACUCGGAAACAGAAAUUUUAA
rnacentral:rRNA from 1 species